rnacentral:snRNA from 1 species
AUCGAGUUUGGCUUCUUCAGCUAACGAAAGCUAGUCUGUUCUUUUCAGUUUAAUCUCUGAAACGCUAGUACGCUAGCAUUCAAGGUUAUACUUAUUUUUGCAAUUAGUCCUGACGUCCCUGGGCUUGCUCAUACGUCGGGUCACAGUGUCGCCUCUAUUGCACUUCCUGAGGCCGACGCGAACCUUU